GAUGAACGCUAGCGACAGGCCUAACACAUGCAAGUCGAGGGGUAACAGGGAAGCUUGCUUCCGCUGACGACCGGCGCACGGGUGCGUAACGCGUAUGAAACCUACCUUAUACUGGGGGAUAGCCCGAAGAAAUUCGGAUUAAUACCCCAUAAUAUAGUUGAUUGGCAUCGAUUAGCUAUUAAAACUCCGGUGGUAUAAGAUGGUCAUGCGUGACAUUAGCUAGUUGGUGAGGUAACGGCUCACCAAGGCAACGAUGUCUAGGGGUUCUGAGAGGAAGGUCCCCCACACUGGUACUGAGACACGGACCAG
rnacentral:rRNA from 1 species